AUGAGAAGUCCAGAGAGUGAGAGAGUGAUUGGAAUGUUGAUGAAACAGAUCAAAGAAUGGCUGUUAGGAUGUGAUGCCACUGGCCUUCUUGUUGGUUGCAGGGCUGCAAUAAUCAGCUUUGGAUGGAGCAAUGGUUUUGAAGCAAGGUUGAGAUUAUGGCCUGAAGUAUUGAAGUUCAACUUGAUUGAAAGGAUGAAGCAAAGUGAAGAUGAAAUUGCAUGA